CAAAAUGUAGCUUAAUUAAAGCACCUGCCUUACACCAAGAAAAUAUCUAUUAAACCCAGAUCAUUUGA
rnacentral:tRNA from 1 species